UACGUAGGGGGCAAGCGUUGUCCGGAAUCAUUGGGCGUAAAGAGCGUGUAGGCGGCUCGGUAAGUCCGCUGUGAAAGUCCAGGGCUCAACCCUGGAAUGCCGGUGGAAACUGUCGAGCUAGAGUCCGGAAGAGGCGAGUGGAAUUCAUGGUGUAGCGGUGAAAUGCGCAGAUAUCAGGAGGAACACCAAUGGCGAAGGCGGGUUGCUGGGCUGACACUGACGCUGAACUGCGAAAGCUAGGGGAGCGAACGGG
rnacentral:rRNA from 1 species